AACGAACGCUGGCGGCAUGCCUAACACAUGCAAGUCGAACGAGCCCUUCGGGUCUAGUGGCGUCCGGGUGCGUCACGCGUGGGAACCUGCCCUUAGGUUCGGCAUAACUCCCCGACAGGGGUGCUAAUACCGGAUCAUGUCUUCGGACCAAUGAUUUUUUGCGUUUGGAUGGGCCAGAGUUGGAUUAGCUAGUUGUUAGGGUAAAAGCCUACCAGGGCGUCAAUCAAUAGCUGGGCAGAGAGGCAGGUCAGCGACACUGGGACUGAGACACGGCCCAGACUCCUACGGGAGGCAGCAGUGGGGAAUAGUGGACAAUGGGCGAAAGCCUGAUCCAGCAAGGCCGCGUGAGUGAUGAAGGUCUUAGGGUUGUAAAGCGCUUUUACCCGGGAUGAUAAUGACAGUACCGGGAGAAUAAGCCCCGGCUAACUCCGUG
rnacentral:rRNA from 1 species